GGAACAGCUUGGAAUGAAAAUGGUAUGUACCAUGAAAUAACUCACUUCCUGAGGGAAAAACUUGCUAGCAUCAGUGUAUAGAAACCCGAUUCUGGGUUCCUGCUGGGAAAGAGGCUUGGGGUUCUCGUGAAAGUGAUUCUGCCAGUAUAGAACUCUGGCCCGAGAAGCUGUAGGGAGGUUUGUCAAUCCAGAAGAAAGAUGAGGGGAUCAUGUAUGAAGCAGCGUGGGGUGGGAGAAUAGCCCAUCAUUCAGCUUCAGCUAAAGUAGGAGGAGUGGGUGAGUCAGUCUGUCUAAUGACUUAUCGUGGUGUUUUUCUUUCUAAAGACUUGAUGCUGGAGAGUCUAAGUGAAGAGGAGACUCAUCCAGUUUGUCCUGAGGAUGGCCUGUUUUUAAGAGGCUCACCACAACGCAAAGAUGAAGAACAAAAAGAUGAUGAUGAUGAUGAUGAUGAUGAUGAUGAUGAUGAUGUCCAGGUAAGACUCCCCUUUUUUGUCUUUUACAGCAGUGUUGCUUUCCUGCUUGCUUUACUUCUCAAUUAA
rnacentral:lncRNA from 10 species